AGAGUUUGAUCAUGGCUCAGGAUGAACGCUGGCGGCGUGCCUAAUACAUGCAAGUCGAACGGCCAAUUCUUUGGGAUUGGUAGUGGCGAACGGGUGAGUAACGCGUGGGUGACCUGCCCCCCAGUGGGGGAUACCAGGCCGAAAGGCCUGCUAAUACCGCAUGGGUCCGACCGGGUUAGAGGCGGUUGGGCAAAGGUGCAAAUCGCUGGGGGAGGGGCCUGCGUCCCAUCAGCUAGUUGGUUGGGUAACGGCCAACCAAGGCGAUGACGGGUAGGGGACCUGAGAGGGUGGCCCCCCACAAUGGAACUGAAACACGGUCCAUACACCUACGGGUGGCAGCAGUAGGGGAUCUUGCUUAAUGGGCGCAAGCCUGAAGCAGCAACGCCGCGUGUGCGAUGACGGCCUUCGGGUUGUAAAGCACUUUUGGUCGGGAAGAGGAAGGACGGUACCGGCCGAAUAAGCCUCGGCUAACUACGUGCCAGCAGCCGCGGUAAAACGUAGGAGGCGAGCGUUAUCCGGAUUUACUGGGUGUAAAGCGCGUGCAGGCGGCCGGUCAAGUUGGAUGUGAAAGCUCCUGGCUCAACCGGGAGAGGACGUUCAAAACUGACCGGCUGGAGCAUGGUAGGGGAAGGUGGAAUUCCGGGUGGAGUGGUGAAAUGCGUAGAGAUCCGGAGGAACACCAGUGGCGAAGGCGGCCUUCUAGACCAUGUCUGACGCUCAGACGCGAAAGCUAGGGUAGCAAACGGGAUUAGAGACCCCGGUAGUCCUAGCCGUAAACGAUGUGAACCAGGCGCGUGGCCGGUCAAACGGCUGCGUGCCGCAGCAAACGCGAUCAGUUCACCACCUGGGGACUACGGCCGCAAGGCUAAAACUCAAAGGAAUUGACGG
rnacentral:rRNA from 1 species